rnacentral:rRNA from 1 species
AAUAAUUGAAUAUUAUUAUAUUAUUAAUAAUUAUUUAUUAUAAAUUGUGUACACAGAAUAUAAUAUAAUUAUUAAUUUUAUAAUAAUUAUGUAAUUAUUAUUUAUUAUAAUUAAUAUUUAUAUUAAUAAAAUAAUUUCAAUUGUUUUAAAUUUUUUAAAAUAGUGAGAAAUUAUUUAUUGAUUAAUUAUUAGUUAUAUGGGUACGAAUUUUAAUAAUUAUUUUUUUUAAUAAUUAUUAUCACGUUGACCGAGACAUACGAAGGUAGCAUAGCCAAAGUGCAGGAGAAAUUGAGAGAGAGGCCUCAUGAAACGUUAAAAGGAAGUGUCAUGAACAAGCGAUAGCCUAAGUAUCCUUAUAAAUCGGAAUCUACUACAAAUAGUGGUUGAAACACGACGUGAAGGUUCGUUGUGCUGAGAUUUCAAAAUAUUUAAAUUAUUUAUAAUAAUUUAUUGUCCCGACCGUGGAAGACACCGACAUAUAAAUUUAUGUUAAUAAAUUAUUAUUAAAUAAUUAUUAUUAUUUUGGAUAUG